rnacentral:tRNA from 1 species
GGAGCCGAGCAGAACGCCUCUACAGACUGCGCCCGGAGAAACCGCAUUGACUCAACGAUGGACGGGGGUUCGAUUCCCCCCAUCUCCACCA